rnacentral:lncRNA from 1 species
AAAAUAAAUUAAGAAAUAAAAUCUUUUUGAAUUUUCGUUUAUAAUUUUUUUGGUUUUUCAACUACAAAACAAGAAAUGUUAUGACACGACACUUAACAAUCUCAACUAUACUACGAUACAAGACUAGAAAGCAAAAAAACAAUAAAAAUAACAUCAAAAAUAAAAAGUCUCUUCAAGCAGCUCCCAAAUGUGAUGGUACAGGGGUAUCUGUCGCGCUUGAGCUCUGUUAAAUAAAUCCAUACCUGAAUGGAAAAAAUAAGACCAAACAAAUUAAAUGACUCGAGACACCAUGUGAGACCACACUUCCUAUUGGGCAUAUGCAAGACAAGAUUGAGAUAUUUUUUUGAAAAUUAAACUACAUGGUCAAAAAUGGCUAGAAAUGCAAACUCAACAUGGAUGACUACUCAAACAUGAAAAUACCCUACUAAUGCUUAUAUGGAUUCAACUCCCAAUGGCCCAAAAUUAAUUUGCAAAAAGGCCCAUUUUUCAAAACGAUCGAUAUGGUCAGAAGCGGCUAAAGAUAUAAACUCAAUAAGGAAGGACCUUAAAAUAAUAUAAUACUUAGUUAUAGACUCAAGAUCCUACGACAUGGUUUGUUGAACCAUUUGCGAAAAUGAUCCCAUUUUGCAAUAAUGACCGAUAUGGCCAAAAAUUGCUUGACAUUCAAGAUUUUGCUAAGAACCCACAAAGUUAAGAACUUAAGACUUACUAGGAAGACCAGAUCCUAUGUGGGUUUCCACAUAUCUCGCCCUGAGUGACGAGAAUCAAGUUCGCGUAGUUCGGGAAGAUGCAACUAAUUUGAAAAAAAUAUAUAUUUUAUCUUUUUGAAAAAUGAUGAAAAAUCUAAAAACUUUUGGAUUUUCUUUUUUAUUUUUUGAAUUUUUGGAAAAUGAUGGAAAAUGUAAAAUCAUUUUGGAUUUUUUUUUGAAUUUUUGGAAAAUAAUGGGUAAGCAUAAAUUUUUUUUUUUGGAUUUUCUUUUUCUUUUUUCUUUUUUGAAUUUUUGGAAAAAAAUGGGAAAACGUAAAAUCUUUUUGAAUUUUUUUGGAAAAUAAUGGCAAAGCGUAAAAUCUUUAUGAAUUCUCUUUUUCUUUUUCUUUUUUGAAUUUUUGGAAAAUAAUGAGAAAGCGUAAAAUCUUUUUGGAUUUUUUUUUGGAAGAUAAUGGGAAAGCGUAAAAUCUUUUUGAAGUUUUCAUUUUCAAUUUUUUUAUUCUUUGAAAAACUAUGAAAGAGAAAUAUGAGUGGGCCGUACUUUCUUCAUUUUUUACCCUUCUUUUCAAGACAUCGGUUCGCCCAAGUGACUGUUUUACCCUCACAGAUGCAACAUUGACCACAUAUGAUGAUUAUUGUUAAUUUAGGCAACGGGCCCAAUUUGACAAAAUUUGGACAUGCUUCCUACAAAAGGACACGGUAUCUGGGACCGAGCCCUACUGGGUCUAAAUGACAUGAUGCAAAUAAAAAUAAUCUAAACACUGACCUAAGUUCGGGAUUCACUAACAAGGCAAUUCGGGGGAGCGAAUGGUCGAUUGUGGUUGCUCAAGCUUUCCACCUAGUCCAUAUGUCUGAUGGCCCCCUCCUAAAUUAAGGGUGACUCAACAAAGAGUUCGUGCAUGCGACGUGUACACCGAGAUUUGUUACAGAAAAAAACCCAUGGUUAUGCAAAUGAUGACAGUUUAUAAAGCGGUAACACAUAAAAAAAAAACCGUAAACAAAUAAGCAGCUAGCAAAUAAUAAAAAGACAUAAACAAAAAUAAAAAUCAAAUAAAGCAAACAAAACACAUAAAAACCUCAACCUAAUAUCCUAAAAGCCAACAAGAUCAAGUACUAGCUCAAACCCGCAACUCCCCAGCAGAGUCGCAAGAGAUGUCACACACAUUUUUUAAAACAAACUCUCACUAAAAUCUCUUAUAUUAAUAAAAAGAUUUAAUAAAAGCUUGAAAGGGUUUUCAAUUUGAAAGUGACAAAAAUUUGUUUCAAAAGGAAAAUAACUCAGAGUCGCCACCUGACAUUGGUUUUGCUAUGCCAGGUCACUAUUUUUAAAAUAAUGUUUCCUUUAAAACAUUUGGACUCAAAACUAAGUCCUCACCAAAGAUUCGGGUAAGGGGGUUCAUUUGACUCGGGGAGAAGGUGCUAGGCACUCCCCAAGUCUCGUGAAGGUCACGAUUGCGUACUUGAUCUAGUUAUUGUAACAUCCUAAAAGCCACCAAGAUUAAGUACUAGCUCAAACCUGCAACUCCCCAACAUAGUCGCUAGAGAUGUCACGCCCUUUUUUUUACCAAACCUACUAAGUCCUCUUAAAUUAACUAAAAGAUUUAAUAAAACUAGAAAUUUUUCAAUUUUGAAAGUGAUAAAAAUUUGUUUCAAAGGGAUUAACUCAGAGUCGCCACCUGACAUUGAUUUCGGUGUGUCAGAUCACCAUUUUAAAAAUGGUUUUUCCUUUUAAAAUGUUUCAGACUCUAAAUACAAGUCCGCACCAGAGAUUCAAGCAAGAUGGUUAAUUUGACUCGGGGAGAAUGUUUUAGGUACUCCCCAUGUCUCGUAACUAGUAAGGUUGCGUACUUGAUCUAGUCAGCUUUUAAAAUAUUCAAGUCGAGGUAAAAAUAACAAAAAAAAGAAAAAAAAUCACACAAGAGGCUCGAGGUCAUCCCUGCCUAAUAAAGGAAAAUGAAAAAAAAAAUCCUAAACUAACAUACACUGCGACUUCUCCACCAUGCUCAUCAAAGCAUGCGAAAUAUUUGCAUAGUUCUUCGGGGCAUACCCCGGAUAAUAAUAUAUACAAAUUUCACAGAGCAUUCUCCGGAUAAAUUUAACUAAGGGACAAACUCUCACUUUACAUUCGAACGUUGUAAAUAAAAAUAAACCUUCUAAAGGUUUGCCUAUUCAAAUUAUGACAGCCUAGGCAUGCUCCUAGCAGCGAUCAAAAUGAUAAAAUAAAAGUCCAAUUAAUAUUAGAUUCCAUUCACAUAUAUAUACUAUGACCAAAUCUCAAACCCAAUAAGACCUCAAACCUUAAAUAAUGUCGAUUAACCCUCACAAAAACUCAAUUGUUGCUUGUAACUAAACCAACAGGUCACAAAACUCAUGGUGUCUUCAGAUAAUUAAUUUCUUUAUAAGACACAUAAUUAAAUACCAUGGUCAGCCAACUUCACUAAUAUGAGUAAACAUCAAUUUCUCAAGAAAACAAAUGCAAACACAAAGACAAACAACUAUGUCAGUCAAGCAUAGACACAACACAAUUUGAAAAUUAAAGAAUGAGCAAGAGUUUAAAAUUGGACCUUAAGCAGCAAGAAUCCUUUCCGAUGUUUAUUAAGAAUCUUCAUAUUAAAUCUCACAUCAACUGGCCGAUAGAUGAGGUGGAGAUCCAAAUAUUAACAACCAAACUUUAGAUGAAAAAUUGGAACACGGUCGCAACAAUUGUUGGUACCUCGCCGAUGAUCUCUGAUUUUACUCGGAAUCUCAACAGAGUGGUUUAAUAGCAACAAAGGGGAUGUGGGUAGUUGCAGCAAUUUUUCGGCGGGUCUUAGAUGUUAAGUGUGCGUUGCUGAUACUGGUUGUCGCGGGUUGAGCAACGGUGGUUUGCGGCGAGCUUGGGUGACAACUGCUGUUGUUUUUGUCUAAAGUUCUCUAGGGUUUUGUGUUUGUGAAGGUUGAAGAAGAUGAAGGAUAUGGAGGGAUGCGUUGUGGGCGUAUUUUUCACAGUAUUUUUGGUCGGUUCUGGUAGGGGUCGAGCUGAGGCAGCUGUGUGUAUGUGUGUUUGGAGGUGAGCAACGACUGUUGCUGCUGAACAGUGGUGCGCCGAUGGUUGGUUUGCAUAACAGCUGUGCAGUGGCGGGUCGCUGGAGAAGGGACUGGCGACGGUUCUGUUAAUUAAUGGCUGGUGCACCUGAUCUCCAAAAAUUUCUCUAGGGUUUUGGUAGUGUUCUCUUCUCCGUUGUUGUCUUGUUGAAGAAGAUGGGAGCUCUCUAGGGUUUGUGUCUUGUGUCCUAAGGUUAAUGAAGAAGGAGGAGGGUUAGGAAGAAAGGAUAAUGGGCUAAGUCUUCUUGGGCUUUCAAAUUGGGCUGGAAGACAUUGGGAUAAAAAUAAAUGUUCAAACCUUAAUUAAAUCACUUUUAAUAUAAGAUAAAUAUACUAUAUAAUGCAAAC